rnacentral:pre_miRNA from 1 species
UGACAAACUAGGCUCAAUACUAACGUGAGAAAGUCAAUACGUCGUCUAGACUUCAGACGAUGCAUUGACUGUUUCAUCGCAAGACUAAAAAAUAAGUAAGAA